rnacentral:rRNA from 1 species
AGUGAACGCUGGCGGCAGGCCUAACACAUGCAAGUCGAACGGCAGCACGAGAGAGCUUGCUCUCUUGGUGGCGAGUGGUGGACGGGUGAGGAAUGCAUCGGAAUCUACCUAGUCGUGGGGGAUACCGUAGGGAAACUUACGUUAAUACCGCAUACGACCUUCGGGUGAAAGUGGGGGACCGCAAGGCCUCACGCGAUUAGAUGAGCCGAUGCCGGAUUAGCUAGUUGGUAGGGUAAUGGCCUACCAAGGCGACGAUCCGUAGCUGGUCUGAGAGGAUGAUCAGCCACACUGGAACUGAGACACGGUCCAGACUCCUACGGGAGGCAGCAGUGGGGAAUAUUGGACAAUGGGCGAAAGCCUGAUCCAGCCAUGCCGCGUGAGUGAAGAAGGCCCUCGGGUUGUAAAGCUCUUUUGUUGGGAGAGAAAACUUAUCGGUUAAUACCCGGUAAGAAUGACGGUACCCAAAGAAUAAGCACCGGCUAACUUCGUGCCAGCCGCCGCAGAAA